UGCGAACUGUGCGAACGUUAUUCGGAAUCACUGGGCUUACAGGGUGCGUAGGCGGCUCAACAAGUCAGGUGUGAAAGCCACCGGCUCAACCGGGGAACUGCGCUUGAAACUGUUAGGCUCGAGUCAGCUAGAGGUACACGGAACUUCCAGUGGAGCGGUGAAAUGUGUUGAUAUUGGAAGGAACACCGGAGGCGAAAGCGGUGUACUGGGGCUGGUCUGACGCUGAGGCACGAAAGCCAGGGGAGCGAACGGG
rnacentral:rRNA from 1 species